AUGAACUUGCGCACCUCCUAUUUUUCGUCUGGGUUCGCCUCCUAAUUUUAGAGUAAUGGCCCCUGAAAUAGUCAAAAAUGCACAUUUUCACCUUGUGACAUGCUUAGCUCAGAAAGUAUUUGAUAUGGAUUCAUGAAACCUUGCACGAUUCUUAAUCAUGAUAUGAACUUGCACAUCUCUUAUUUUUCACCUUGGUCUGCUCCCUAUUUCAAGAGUCAUGGCCCCUGAAAUAGUCAAAAAUGCACAUUUUCACCUUGUGACACGCCUAGCUCAAAAAAUAUUUGAUAUAAAUUGAUGAAACCUUGCAUGAGUCUUGAUCAUGAUAUGAAUUUAAGCACCUCCUAUUUUUCGUCUGUCUCCGCCCCCCUAUUUUUAGAGUUAUGACUCCUGAAAUAGUCAAAACUGCACAUUUUCACCUUGUGACACGCCUAGCUCAAAAAGUAUUUGAUAUAAAUUGAUGAAACCUUGCAUGAGUCAUUAUCAUGAUAUGAACUUGCCCACCUUCUAGUUUUCAUCUGGGUGCACCUCCUAUUUCCAGAGUUAUGGCCCCUGAAAUAGUAAAAAAAUGCAUAUUUUCACCUAAUUAUGUGCCUCACUCAGAAAGUAUUAAAUGUAAAUUCAUGAAACCUUGCUUGAGUCUUUAUCAUAAUGUGACCUUGCACACUUGGCAUUCUUCUUGAGAAUUUUAGCGUUUAUUACAGAGUUAUGGCCCUUGAAAUAGCCAAAAUAGUGGAUUUUUUGUUUGUGUUGCUCAUAGCUCAAAAAGUAUAUGGUAUAGAAUAAUGAAUCCUUUUAAUAAUUUUUUUUAGGCUAUACCCCAUUAAGACUGCAAACAUUUGACUUAUUUCCCCUUAUUUGUGACAAAUGUACCAGUUUGGGGCACACCCUGUGUCCUACAGACGCAUUCUAGUUUUAUAGCCAGUGAAGUGUUCUCUUUAGGAUUUUACUCAGCUAAGCCAGAGUUAUGGCUAACUAAGUGAAAAUACACAUAACUUAAGGUUCUUAAAAGUUUGUGUUGCAAACAUCUUAAAAAGUAUUUAACCUGAGUCAUAAAACCAUGUUACAGUGGCAGGAGUGGGGGCACCUGUGUCCUAUAGACACACAUCUAGUUUCUUUUUAUUGUGUCCAUUUUUUAGUCUUGUUAAUAAUACGUUAUUCCCCAUAUUGGGACAAAAGCACAUGCAUCGGGGAGCAUCAUUCAGUUUUACCAAUUCCUUGUUAAGAGUUGGGGUUACUGUAAAACCAUUUAAUUUUGUGGGCAUGAAAUUUCAUGGUUUUGGUCAAAAUGGCAAUUUCGUGGGGAUAUAAGUUCAUGGAUUUCAACUUUCGAACAUAAAAUGAAUGCGAAUUUUACUUGUUCGUUGGGAUUAAAUUUCGUGGAUUGACUCAACCACGAAAUCCACGAAAAUUAGUCCCCCACGAAUAUUAAUGAUUUCACAGUAUAUAAUUCAUUAACCUUAAUUUCUAUCUCACCUAGUGUAAACUUUGUCUUUGCAGUGUUUUUCCAUCGCAAAGAGGUAUUUGUGUACCCAGACGAUGACAACAAACAUGAAGUUGGUGAAGGUCUCUAUAAGAAAGCUGAGAUAACUUUGGACUGUGUUUGUCUGAGAGAUAAAUCUAUUGGAACUACAAUUAAGAGCCCUGAGAAGUUGAAGGCAAUAAGAUGGUAAGACAAGAUAGGGGAGAAUUCUCUUAAAGUCCGUGCCAAGUUUAUUGACAACAGAUCUGAGACAGGAUCUUGUGUGUUUGAGGUGAAAUAUUUCUCGAAGUAUAGUCUAGUUGAUGACUUAGAUGAGGAAGAUGUACCGGAAAAGGACAAGAAACGUUUACUGGUACGUCUGGCACAGCAGCAACAGAUGGCUGUACAGAUGAUGAAGAUAUGGAUGUCCAAGGCAAAGAACCAUCUUCACUUCGCUUAGCAACAAGUGUGGGAGUUGAUGCAAGAAAUAUGCAGGUCAUGAAAUCUUCAUUGUUUGGUGACGAGGAUGCCCUGGCUCCAGCAUUUAAUAAUAAUAAUAAUAAUAAUAAUAAUAAUAAAGACUUUAUUUAUAGAGGCAACACAGUUAGGUCUAGCCCAAUCUUCCCUGUGAGCCUCAUACAAAACACAUAUUUACAAUGGUACAAAAUGAAACAAAACAGAGGUUGAUAAUGACAGUCACGUGGUAUUUACAUGUAAACAAUCUUAUUAAAGAGAGACCAAAAACAAGCUUUAUAACAGAUGAAGAGAUGCUUCAUGACAAAUUUUUAAACAAAGGAAUAGAUAUAAACAUAACAUCUCACAAUUUCGAUGACUGUACAAAACAACAACAUAAUAAAGUCAUCAUAGACAAAAUUUGGAAUAAUUACUUUACAAAAAUUUGAAUAUGACACUUUAAUAUUAUUGCUUAUGAACUUUGACCUAUAAAAGACAUUCUCCAAUGACUUAUGUAUUUACUUUUAAAGCUUGCAAGACUUUCUGCCUGACAGUCAUCAUUUGGCAGUGUAUUCCAGAUUUUUGCUCCUGAGUAUUCAAAGCUUUUUCGAAAAAAUUCUAAUCUUGGUUUAGGCGGAUACAAGUUAAGUUCUGAGUCAGUUGAUCUUAGACUACGUUUGUGAAUAGUAUGGGUGUGAGUAAAUUUAUCUUGUAGGUAUUGAGGGCAUAUAUUGUUGACAGACUUAUAAACCAUAAUUGACUGUUUGUAUUUGACUCGCUCUGGGAAUUUCAUCCAGUUUAGUUUAAUAAACAGUUCCUCAGAGGGUGCAUCAAAUUUUGUGUCCAGGAUAAUCCUAGCUGCUCUCUUCUGAAAUUUGAGAAUGGAAUCAGCCUGUUCUGAGUUACAGUUUCCCCAGACAGAAAUGAGAGAGCAAGUUUUCAGUGAAUGUUUCAAUGAGACAUGUACUACUACAUGCACUGUGUAGACUGGCAACAGACCUUUUCACAUGGUGUCCAGAUGCUGAUGGUAGAACAAAACUAGUAGAUGUUAUGUUCCCACUUGUGUUUGAUGUCUCUACAGAAUAUCUCGUAGAUAUGAUAUCUUUCCUGGAUGGUUACCUUGGACCAGAAGAUGGCGAGAAAUUCA